rnacentral:rRNA from 1 species
GACGAACGCUGGCGGCGUGCUUAACACAUGCAAGUCGAACGGAAAGGCCUGCUUUCCCUUGUGGAUUGCGGGUACUCGAGUGGCGAACGGGUGAGUAACACGUGAGUGAUCUGCCCCCAACUUGGGUAUAAGCCUGGGAAACUGGGUCUAAUUCCCGAUAGGACUGCAGGGUGGUGCCUGUGGUGGAAAACGAUUUUCUAGUGGUUGGGGAUGAGCUCGCGGCCUAUCAGCUUGUUGGUGGGGUAAUGGCCUACCAAGGCGGCGACGGGUAGCCGGCCUGUGAGGGGGGACGGCCACAUUGGGACUGGGAUACGGCCCAGACUCCUACGGGAGGCAGCAGUGGGGAAUAUUGCAGAAUGGGCGGAAGCCUGAUGCAGCGACGCCGCGUGGGGGAUGACGGCCUUCGGGUUGUAAACUCCUUUCGACCGCGAGGAAGCCACCUGGUUGGAAGGGUGGUGACGGUAGUGGUAGAAGAAGCACCGGCUAACUACGUG